rnacentral:rRNA from 1 species
AUCAUGAGUUCACAUGUCCGCAUGAUUAAAGGUAUUUUCCGGUAGACGAUGGGGAUGCGUUCCAUUAGAUAGUAGGCGGGGUAACGGCCCACCUAGUCAACGAUGGAUAGGGGUUCUGAGAGGAAGGUCCCCCACAUUGGAAUUGAGACACGGUCCAAACUCCUACGGGAGGCAGCAGUGAGGAAUAUUGGUCAAUGGGCGAUGGCCUGAACCAGCCAAGUAGCGUGAAGGAUGACUGCCCUAUGGGUUGUAAACUUCUUUUAUAAAGGAAUAAAGUCGGGUAUGCAUACCCGUUUGCAUGUACUUUAUGAAUAAGGAUCGGCUAACUCCGUGCCAGCAGCCGCGGUAAUACGGAGGAUCCGAGCGUUAUCCGGAUUUAUUGGGUUUAAAGGGAGCGUAGAUGGAUGUUUAAGUCAGUUGUGAAAGUUUGCGGCUCAACCGUAAAAUUGCAGUUGAUACUGGAUGUCUUGAGUGCAGUUGAGGCAGGCGGAAUUCGUGGUGUAGCGGUGAAGUGCUUAGAUAUCACGAAGAACUCCGAUUG